rnacentral:lncRNA from 1 species
GUCUCCAACUCCUGGAUCAAGUGAUCCACCCACCUUGGCCUCCCAAAGGGCUGGGAUUACAGGCGUGAGCCACCACGCCCGGCCAGGCUGAGUUUUUCUCCAGCGGUUCAUCGAGUCCUCUGACAAAGCAAGGAGCCGAUAUAGGGCCAGUGGGACGGUCGCCAGUCAAGGGGCUGGGCUUGGUGGAAAGAUUAAUACUCACUGGACGUCCAGUCGAAACGCCCUGAAACCUAUGAUGCUGUCGACCAAACGAAGGCCUGGAAUACCAAAAUAGCCACAUAGGCACAGCCCUUCCCCAUGUUUCUGAGCGCAGUGUUUCCUCUGGGGUCACACAGGUGUCUUCUUGAUCAGCCUCAGCCAUGCUUGGUGAGAGCCGGGCACUGGGGGAGCCAGGCACUGUGCUCUCCUGUGACGCUGUAGACACCAUCCUGAGCUGUGCAGACCCCAGCGCUGCCCAGAGCGGAGCAGAGGGGGCCGGGCCAAGGAGUGGGAGCUGGGGACAGGGAACCUGGAGGCGAGGUGGAUAGAGCCCCGGAGACCGCCCUAGGGACCUACUCCAGACCAAACUCUGCCAGACCUCGGAGCACUGGGGCCUCCUUCUCUGCCCUCCCUCCUCAGGCAAGGCCUCUGGAGCUCCCCAGCUCUCGUGGAAGCCCCAGGGGCCCAGGACUGACCCAGCCUCUUUCACAGCCAGAGUCCUGGUGGAGGAUGACGAGAUCAUGCAGGGAUUCAUCAGGGCUUUCAGGCCCCUGCCCAGGCACCUAUGGUACUUGCUGGACUUGAAACAGAUGGAAGGUGAGCUCUGCCUAGGACACGCCCAGCCUCAGCUGGAGGAGAAGCUGCCUCUUUCUCAGCCUGAGCCCCCUGCUGGCUCUGUAGGACUCAGGUCACUCCUUUUUGGCCCCUCCCCUGUUCUCCCCCGGCCUCCUGGGGUGCAGAGCCACCCUGAGAUGGGGUCCUGCCCUCUCCCGCCAUCUUUUCACCCCCUCUCUAGCCCUGGGGCUGCUGUGUCCCCAGCUGUCUCUUCUCUCGCUGACACCUCCACUGUCCCAUCUCCUCCCACAGAGCUGUGCCGUUUCUAGGUGAGCUCCUGCCUGGUCCUGCCUCCUGGGUAAUGUAUCAGCCUCGCCCACUGUCUGCGGCUGCCUCUCUGGGCCCCUGGGACAGACCCCACUGUGUCCAGUUCAGGGCUGACCCUGCAGGAAUGAACUGGGGUCUGGUCUUGUGAUUCCAGAAAGCCAGGCUGCUGACGUCCCCAUCCACCAGCCCAGCCUGUGUCUUGCAGCCAUUGUAUUAGUCACAGGCUCGUGCCCUAUAGUCAGACCUCAUGCUUUCUUUUGGAGUUCGGGGUGUUGGUUGGAAAUAGUGGGGGCUAUAGGAGGAAGGAGGAUGGUUACACGGAAGGGCAUGAGAAGCUGGGGACCUGCAGGUCUCAGUCCCACAUUCUUUUUUUUUUUUUUAAGAUGGAGUCUCGCUCUGUCACCAGGCUGGAGUGCAGUGGCACAAUCUCAGCUCACUGCAACCUCGACCUCCUGGGUUCAAGCGAUUCUCCUGGCUCAGCCCCCCGACAUUUUUUAAAAUUUAUUUAUUUUCUUAGAGAUGGGGUCUUGCCAUGUUGCCCAGUUGGUCUCAAACCCCUGGGCUAAGAUAAUCCUCCCACCUC